CAGCCAAAAUUAUUAAAAGCCAACUCGAAUCGAAUCGUAAAUAAAUACAAUUAAUAUAGGCGUUGGCGGUUUGCAAAGGGCACGAAAAAACCCUGAAGAAUGCAUAUUUCGCUAUUGUUGAAUGUUUAUUAAAAUUUAAUCAACCGAUCAACAUCCCGAAUUAAUGAAAUAUAUUAUUUGAGGCUGUUGGAUCGAAUGUUGUCAGUAGCUUCAGUAUAUAUAUAUAUAUACAGUGCCAUCCGACUGAUCACUCGCUAUUCGCGAGAGAAAAUUAAUGUAUUAUAAUCACGAACGCGUUUGCGAAUCACGGAAACUGAAAAUUUAAAAUUACGGAAAACGAGGUUUAUUCCGAAGGAGAAACGUAAACAGAAUCGAGAAUUCCAUUGGAAACCGUUCGAGUGAAAGAGA